CCCUUAGACGUUCUGGGCCGCACGCGCGCUACACUGACGAAGGCGACGAGCUUUCCUUUACCGAAAGGUACGGGUAAUCUUUUGAAACUUCGUCGUGCUGGGGAUAGAUCCUUGCAAUUUUUGAUCUUAAACGAGGAAUGCCUAGUAAGCGCAAGUCAUCAACUUGCGUUGAUUACGUCCCUGCCCUUUGUACACACCGCCCGUCGCUACUACCGAUUGAAUGGUUUAGUGAGGCCUUCGGAUCCGCGACUCGUUUGUGGAGAAGUUGGACAAACUCAGUCAUUUAGAGGAAGUAAAAGUCGUAACA
rnacentral:rRNA from 1 species